rfam:Alligator mississippiensis ScZkoYb_24, whole genome shotgun sequence.
UCACUCUGGUUUCUCUUCAGAUCGCAUAAAUCUUUCGCCUUUUACUAAGGAUUUCCGUGGAGAGGAACAGUUAUGAGUUUCGACCCAAUUUUUUGAGUUUCUUUCUUUCUUUCUU